GCCACAAAACACCCAAAUUCCUAAAUUUCUCAAAUGCUUGGCGCCCUGAUAUUUUCGUUUUCCCCUUUCUCUCUCUCGCUUUCCAUCUUCCAUCUUCGAGGUCUCUCUCUCUCUCUCUCUCUCUCUCUCUCAUCUGUGUUCACUCCCGCCGGCAUCAGUUUGUUGAUCCACCUUCACCAAGCCGACAUUACCGCCCACUCUCUCUCGAUCUCGAUCAGUACAUGGAUAUCACCUCUCGCAGCCCCAAUAGCACCAGCGUGGGAAGAGUUCUAGAUUGUUUGUAGCAGCAGUGGCAGUGGCAGCGACUUCCCAUCGAUUCUCUCUCCAGCAUCCAGAUAUAUCUCUCAUCUGCUAUCCUCUGCUCUCCUCGCCUGUCCUCUCCUCUUUUUCUCUUCUUUUUCAUUCAUUGGAAUCAAACCCUCUUCAUUGGAUUUAACUAAAUAAAAAUAAAUAAAUCAACCCUAAACACUAGUUUUAAUCCAACGCAUUAUGCAACAUUUUUACAAUUAAAUCUCGUGUUGAAUCUGUGAAAAAUGAUACUCCCUUUUUGUCUAUGCAAGUAUGAGUGUGGGGAUUGGAACCCUAGAAAGUUGUGCAGAGAUUGGAGAUUGAGAGAGAGAGGAGAGAGGGUGUGAAGGGUUGAUUGGUUGAUUCAAAGUGCUGUGAAUGUGUUUGAUGAAUGUGUGUGCUCUUCACCUGUCUAUUUCUAUUUUUUUUGAUGAAUGUGUGUGCUUCAUUUAUAUACACAAGGAAGACUGCAAUAUUUUCAGUGCAAAAGGUGGAAAAUAUUUAGCACGUAACUUUUCUAAUUACAGUCAUAGUGGGUUGACUCUCCUUUUUUAUUUUUAAUUAUUUUUUUUACACAAAUUUAACUAGUCUGAGUUGUAUGUUAGAUGCGAUUUCUUUCUCUUUUCGGUUUUGGCUAAUAAGAGUUUGGUUUUGAGACCAUUGGAAUGCAAUGAUCCUCAUUGCUAUGGCAGGGAAACAAGCCCUUCUACAUCACUGUUGUGGUAUCAAGUCCAUUUUCCUUGAGCAUGUGGUGGGCCAACUAGUUUAAGAAAAUUUGAGUAAACAAGGUAUUCGUUCUAAUUAGAAGCUCAACUAAUUUCUAAAAAGAAUAAGACUUCAUAAACUUCGAAGCCUAGUGAGUAUCAAACUCAAUACCAAUUAACUCUGACAACCAAUUUCGUCAUGUAAAGAACUAAUUACUUGAUGACUAGAGUGGAUAUUUUUUUAGUUAGAUGAAGGUGCUUCUUCAUUGGCAUUUUGGUGAAAUUUUAGUUUGCACUUUGAGAGAGGACAUGUCAACUUAAACCUUGUAAUGGUUGCUGCCAUCAUGCAAUUGGGUAAUAGCUUCAAUGUUUUAAAUCAUACUCUCAAGAGGAUAUGACUUACUUUUACUAAAUAUUCUAUUUUCCUCUUAUUGUAGCUACUUUAUUUCUGUUUCUUAGUUGUUGUGAUCCAUUCAAUGAGAAAGCACUUCGAGCUGGCUGAGGAGCCUUCUUUUAGCUUCCUAUAGUUUCUGGAACUUGGACUCAUCUAGAAGCUCUCAGAAAUAAAUUCCAUUUUAAGAUUUUGGCUGGUCAUCCUGAGAGUAAUGAACAAUCGAAGCCAGUGUCUAGGCUUUCUGAAGGGCUUGCAAAUUCUUUAGUAAAUUUGCCACUGUGCUUGGUCUUGGGUGGCGAAAGGAGUGACCUUUCAACAAAAACUAAGCAUGUAUGUGAGCUUGUAAUCAUUCUAAUGGUAGGACAAUUUGAGUCUCUUAAUGUUUCUGUUGUUGGUGGGAUUUUCUUAUAUAUGCUGUAGCCUGAGAACCAUAGAUAUGCCUUAAUCUUUCCAUGAACUGUCAUGCCAGUUUUAGUUCUAAUUCUCUGUAACAAACAUUAUACAUAAAGCGCAAAAAGAUAUAAUAUAACAUCAAAUUCAUAGGUCAAAGUUUCAUUUCAUCCUAGCUAUAAAUUAGUAUAUGCCAUCGGUGGGGAUUCUUUGACUGAUUAGCAUGAAUAAAACAUUUGAUUAUCACAUUCAAAAUGCGCAACUUAAUAUAGUAUGAAAAUUCUGCUAAGAAAACUAUGAGUAUAAAGACCCAAAUUGUAUAGAGCAUUCAAUGGGGAAAAUUGUGGUUCUGAUGAUAAGUCAAAGGAAAGGCACCAAAUCCUAAAAGCUAUUAACAUAUGUUUUUAAACUUUAUAAUCUUCAUAUGAAUAUACGGAUUAUAGCUCUUGAUCCAGGACUUAUUGCAUAAUAUUUUCAAUCUUCCCAAAAUUUAAAAAAAAAAAAACUUAUUAAUACCCGUGCUUCCUGUCCAACAUUUAGUUAAAUAUUGAAAUAAAAUCAUCAAGCACUGAAAGAAGCAUAUCAUAAUCUGCUCAACUUAGUUGUAUAACUCAUGUUACCAUGCCAGACAUUAUUCAGUGUCAUUCUAAACACCCAAGACAUCGAAUCUAGCCCUUGAUUACACCAUCUUAUCCUAAACAUAGGAAAUAUUAAAAGCAGUGUUUGAUGAUAAAUUUGUUUGAUCAUAAGCUCCCAUCCCUACAGAUCAGACAGCAACCUGCAAAAAAUUAACCUACACUGAGAGCAUUAGUUAAAAAAAUUGGAGGCUCGCCCACUCAACCUACAAAUCUCACAUCACUCAGUCAAUAUGCUAGUGUAGGGCUCACAACACUCAACCCACCUCCCUUAGAAAAUUACCAGCCAUGUACCUGCAGGUUAUUAAUAGUUACCAGAUUUAAGCACAGAGUCAGGUAAAGACCAUUCCUUCAAGAACCAAUUAUUUAUUAAAGCAGCCUCGAAGUUAGUGAUUGACAUCGCUCUACACCUCACUAAUUCCUUUAUCCUGCUGAUUAUAGCCACCUUAUUUGACUUUGUCGUUUGGAAAAUCCUACAAUUUCUUUCCUGCCAGAUACAUUAAAUAGAACAAGUGAAGACCAGUUUACAAAUAGUGACAGACAAUGAGGAACCAAUAAGCUGGGAAGCUAACCAAUUCACAAGUUGGUUUCAGUUCAUAUUAGGCCAGGCCACAUUACACUUAGCUGUCAUGGUGGACUAGAUUCUGAAUGAAAAAGGGCACUCAAAGAAUAGAUGAUUGUGGUCCUCAUCCUCCUCCUCACAAAGCACACACCUAGAAUUAUCCCUCACUCCAAAGAUAACUAGCCUCUCAAAAGUAUUAAGCCUAUUAUAGAUGGCCAUCCAGACAAUGGUACUAACCGUAGGAAUAUGGUGUUUGAACCAAAGAAGUUUAGCCCAAUGCACCUUGGGGUGCUGGGCUCUCCACAGAUUCCAGGCUGACUGAAUAGAGAAAUAGCCAUCAGAGGAAUUUAACCAAAUAAGUUUGUCCUCAAAGUUAGUAGGGUUACCCUGGACAUUAGCCUUGAUCUCAUCUAAUUCCUAGGUUUAGCACACAGGCCAUCUCCAUCUCCAUCUCCAUCUCCAUCUCCAUCUCCAAUCAUCAAUAAUAGACUCAACCUUGGCUUGGUCUUGAGAGCCAAAAUCAUAAAUCACUCUAUCCCCAAACCUCUACUUCAAAGUGCCAAGGGGAUGCCAAUUAUCAAACCAAAGAAAAGUGUUCCUCCCAUUACCCACUUUGUAACCAAUAUGCUGGAUGAGCUCACUUCUAAGGCCUAGGAUUUUCCUCCAAACCCAAGAAGGGUCGCUAGGUGUUUUAACACUCCAGAAGCUUCUAUUCUUGUGCAAGUAGGACUUGCCCAUUGACACCAUAUGUAUUGCUCACCCCCAGUCAAAAGAUACCAAAUGUGUUUAGAUACAACAGCUUUGUUCCAUAUCCCAAGCUCUUCAAACCCAAGGCCACCUUCAUUUCUAGGAAUACAUAAGUGGACCCAAGCCACCUUAGCCCCAGACUUCUUAAGCUCAGGCCCAGACCAAAAGAAAGCUCUAAGAGAGCCUCAAUCUCUCUAAUUACCUUCUUUGGGAGGAUAAAAAGAGAAGACCAAUAAACCUGCAUUGAGAAUAGAGUGGACUUAACAGCUAUGUACUCAUUUUAGGCCUAUGACAAAUUUUGAUGAGAUUUCCUUCCACAUCAUUGAGUGCAUACAUUUUCAUUUGCAAAAUUCCAAAACAAAGGUAUCAAUAUGUGGUACUAUUAUGUUCUUUGAGUUUUCUAAAAAAAUCAAAUGUGCACUAUACUUAUGUUCAAAUGCAUUCUGCGAUCUUGUAUAGCUGAUUGGCUUUAUUUUGCUGCGAAGUGACACCACAACCCAGCCUCAGUCUGUAACCCCAUCUCUAAAAACAGCCACACAGGACGGAUCAAAUGGAUAUUAGACAAACUCAACAAAUCUUGUAUGGGAUUCAUAUAGGAAAAGUAAUUUCAUUUUAUGACAUUUUUGUUAAUGUGCAUACAUGACACCAUAUUCUUCUGCUUAUUUUCUCUCUAGUUCUCUAGGCAAUAUAGUGUAGAUGGGCUUAAGGGCUUGAUCAGAUGGUGGUUGAAUACCUACAGAAACUGUCAUACUUGUGAGUAGUUCUAUUCUGUUAACUAUUUACAUGUUUCAUGAUUAAUGUGGCCAGUGUUACCAGUCUAAAACAUCAAUUUAAACAUGUUUGUUUUUCUUGCAUUCAACUAUGACAUUGGUACCUUUAAAUAGAACCAUAUUGUUACAUUUUAGAAUAAUGUUUGGCUUUAAUGUGAUGAUCUUAAUAGGAAAUUCUUUGUAGAUUUAUCUUCAUAUGCUUGAUACAUCCUUUCUUCUUUAUGAUGCUGGUUUUUCUAAACCUUUGAAAACAAUUCAUGUUUGCAGUGGACAGGAAAAGGGAAUACAUAGGGAUGAACUGUCCCAGAAGCUAAAAACCAUAGCUUAUUGACAUUGUGUGCCCGUAAUAGUGAGAGAUUGAUAUUUACUCUUAGAACCAAUCAACUAUAUUUUUAUGUUUGAAUGUAAUAUAAGUAAACAUUUGCUGAAGGAUGCUCUAAGGUAUUCAUGGCUUCAUUUGUGGGCUUCAUCAAAUGGGAUUCUAGCAUUUUUUUCCUUGUUGACAUUUUUGUUAUUGUAAUCAUUUGCUUGAUGGUUCAAACACAAAUACAAGUAUAAAGUAAUAUGUUAAUCAAAUUGAAUUGUAUAUAUAGUUUUGUAUUUGUAUUUAUAUUUGGUGUAUUGGUUUAUGUUUGUUAUGAAACAAAGUAUCAGUUUUGAUUAGAUACAUUUGCAUUUUAAUGCUUUCGUUCUAUUUUCAUUGUUGAAGGUUAUGAUUAAAAAUUUGGAGCAAGUAGUGAACGUGGUUUUGAAUUCAUUCCAAGAUCCUUAUCAUCGAGUGUGAUGGGCAACUAUUAAUGCAAUUGGACAGUUGUCUUCAAAUUUAGGCCCAGAUUCGCAAGUUCAAUAUCAUCAACAUUUGCUACCAGCUUUGGCUACAACUAUGGAUGAUUUUCAGAAUCCUCGCAUCCAGGAUCAACUUGGAAUUAGAGUACCUCCAUUGAUGAACACAGGAUCAAAGCUCCAAACCCACACCACACGCCCUAAUUUCAAGUUGAAAAGCUGAGAUCUGGAAAGAAUUCCUAGAGAGAAAUUAUAUGAAUCCGAGUGGCUCAUCAUCAUCAUGAUGAGCAACAACACAACAGUCGCUUAUCAUCAUCAUCGACUCUUAGCUUGACGUCCUCGAACAGAUCAAGCUUGUCUUCAGCUUCGACGAACUCCGAACUGCCCCGGGCCGACUCGGAUCUUCAACAUCUCUGUCUCUUACUCAAAUCCCUCAAUCCCUCUCUGCAUGUUCGAUCAGUUCUCCAUCCUGCCGGAGCUCAUCGAUCGGAAAGUGACCCACAUGAAGAUCAUCUCUCCUUCGAAUCACAUCGUCGAUUUCGGCAAAACCCUAAAGCCUCACGAGUCCAUCGGUGCCAUCCUUCUCAAAGACCUCUUCACGAAUCUGGAGCUCCCAUCAUCGGCUGGCGUGCCAUACGUCGUGCACCUCACGAUCGGUGGAUCUCAAAGGCCGCUAGCCGUUGAUGUUGUGGUGGUUGAGAGAGAAGAGAGAGGUGAGAGAGAAGUUGAACAAGUAGAGAGAAGGAAUGGUCGUGGCACUCUACUCUCUCUUUCUCUAGAAAUUUGGGUUCUGAUCCACUCUUCCUUUCCUAGAUAUUUUUGUUGGAUUUAUUUUUCUAGUGUGGCCCAAUAGCUUACAUAUUUUUUACAUGUUUUAAUUUAUUUGGACUCCACAAAUAGAUA